UUUUUUUCAUGUUAAAUAGACACACUAGUAUAUAACUUGGUAUAAAACACAAGACCAGCCAAGCAUUGAAAUGCAUGCAUGUACACUGAUCGUGAUGUUCAUCAAUUAUCAUGAUCGUGUCAUGAACAUUGGUAAUAGGUGCAAUCUGAUCCAUUCACUCACAUUUAUAAAUAUACAAGCCAACAAAUGUAUACACACUUUGAGAAUAAGUCCUAGGGAAGUUCAACAAGGCACCACUACAUCGGUUCAAGGACCAUGAGGCUUGGGAGGUAUCAUGAGAAAUAUUGCUUUAUUACAAUUGAAUAGAGGGUGUCAGAGAUACACAAAUCAAGCGAAGGCGGUCUCUUCAAAAUGUGAUAUCUCUAGCUUUGUCAAUAAUUACUUAAUGUCAUGUUAACUCCUUUUGUACGUAAACCAUGUUUUCAAAUAAGUGUAUAUUACCACCAUUAACUAUAGUGCGAGUUGCCACUAAAACAAGUAUCACGGGAGUUUAAUUUUGACUGUGAACUCAAUUAUAUACCACUUAGAGGAGACCCCUAAAUUCUAAGAACAGUUUGCUUUAUCUGUCUAUUCAUAUUGAGGUGAUUUUGCCUGACGUGAUGAUUAGAUGUUAAUUAUUCCAUACGCACAAAAGUAGAGAGUGUACUCAUCGAUACUUCCUAGAAAAACGUAAGCACAUACAUUGUGAUGCCCCACUUGAUGCAUUAAUAAAACCUCUUUCUUGAAAAAUUGAGCGAGGCACUUUUUCGUUGAGAGGAAACAAGAUUUCAGUUAACCAAACAAAUAACAAGACCAUAAUGGAACUACAUCUUUCUCCACGGUUGAAGCAAAGACUCUUAUAAAAUAAGCCUUGAAGAGCGAACCAAGAAUUAGAUUAUGCAUGUACUCCCUCCGUUUUUUUUUGUAUGCAUAUAAGGUUUGGUCAAAGUCAAGCUUUGUAGAGUUUGACUAACUUUAUAUUAAAAAAUAUAAACAUUCACAAUAUGAAAUCAAUAUUAUCAGAUGCACCAUGAAACGUAUUUUCAUACUAUAUAGUUUCAGUAUUGUAGAUGUUCAUAUUUUUUUAUAUAAAUUUGGUCAAACUUUGUGUAGUUUGACUUUAACCAAAUCUUAUAUGCGGAGUAAAAAAAACGGAGGGAGUAUUAGAACACCUCUAUGUGGAACAAAACAGAUGCCACUCUUGAGAAAAAAUCGUGCAUCUUUUUUUAGGUUCUAAGACUAAUAUAGCCACUAAUACUAUAUCAUCUUAAAACAAUUUAAGUUUAAAAAUCGCUAUCUAGGCAUCCUGGAUAACAUUGGCUACCAUACACAACUUGGUAAAUAAAAAAUGCGGGUCAAAUAAAUUGAGCCAUCAUUAGAAAAAAAUUCCAAGUUAAUCAGUUAACUAUUUUGAUCCAGUUCAUGGUACUCUCCCUGUAGCCUAUUGCUAUACCAUUCCAGCAAUGGCAUCCUUGGCCAUUUAAUAACCCUUUGUGCUAGGGACCAUAAGGUUUGAGCUGCCCAAAGAUGGUAAUGUGCAUUUACACUUCAGUCGUGAAGCGGUUUUUUGUUGGGCCGCCAAAGUUGGAGACUCGUCACACAUCUUAUUCUUCGUGUCAAUUGCAGUAGCCCAUGCCUUAAAUCCAGGGAACAAUUCUCAACACAUGUGAAAAAACUAUUUGUGGUUAAAAAGGCAGAGACGCAUGACUGGCAAGAAGUUCUUUUGGCUAAAACGGUCUCGUGUAUUGGGGGCUGAGAUGAAACCAAUAUUAAUUUCAAGACCUACUUGGUUAAAAAGAUUGGCUGCGGAAAAGGUUGUGGCCUGCUUUGUUAGUAGUUCAAAGCCAAAACAGGAGGAAAGCUUAGAAAAAAUGUGGUAUUUAACUAAAUGGUUCUCUUCGGCGAUUGAAGUGCCCCUUGACUGGAAAAAAAUCAUAGGCUGGUAAUUGGGUUCUGCUUCCUAGUUGCUUUCUUGUGUUGGAGUUACUAGACAUGAUUCAGGUGAUUUGAGCCUAAGGUUAACUCAUACACAAGCUAUCCAACUUCUUUGUAUCUUAAUUUCCUAUGGUAGUUAUAUUUAUUGCAGACGUAACGUUAUCCCUAGCCCAUGUUUGCAUUUCAGAGAUGAUGACAAUAAUAAUAUGUGGAUUUAGACAUUGUUGAUUCUUGUGUGAUCUCAUUAUAGUAACAUGCUACUAUCUUGUUAAUCUGCAUUGGCCUAAAUAUAUGAGCUAGCAUGAAUGUUUGAAUAUAUGGGAAAUCAUGUAACACUACUAGGGAAAAGCUUAUACACAGAAUAUUAGCAGUAGCGCUGGGUUAAAUGAGGCGCUGCUGCUACUUAGUAGUAGCGCGUGUCAGUAAGAUGCGCUACUGUUAUACUUUUAGCAGCAGCGCGUUUUAGCGAAACGCGCUGCUGCUAAGUUUGAACUGGGGCAUAAUGGCUAGCCCCACUUAGUAGCAGCGCGUAUCCAGAUACCGCACUACUGCUAUGCUCCAUAGUAGUAGCGCUUUUCUUCGACACGCGCUACUACUAACCCUACCUUAUCGUCCCUGCGCGACCGACCCCCUCACUCUCCCUCUCACUCACUCUCUCCCCCGCGCCCCCGUCGUCCGCUGCCGCCGCCGUUCCCCGACGACCGCCGUCACCCGCAGCCGUCGUUCCUCCUCCACUGAGGUAGUCCCUCAUGCCUCCUCCUCCCUCCUUCCCUCCUCCAUCCUUCUCCAUCUGCCCCCUCCUCUCUCCACCACUGGGCGCCCCUCCUCCACCNNNNNNNNNNNNNNNNNNNNNNNNNNNNNNNNNNNNNNNNNNNNNNNNNNNNNNNNNNNNNNNNNNNNNNNNNNNNNNNNNNNNNNNNNNNNNNNNNNNNNNNNNNNNNNNNNNNNNNNNNNNNNNNNNNNNNNNNNNNNNNNNNNNNNNNNNNNNNNNNNNNNNNNNNNNNNNNNNNNNNNNNNNNNNNNNNNNNNNNNNNNNNNNNNNNNNNNNNNNNNNNNNNNNNNNNNNNNNNNNNNNNNNNNNNNNNNNNNNNNNNNNNNNNNNNNNNNNNNNNNNNNNNNNNNNNNNNNNNNNNNNNNNNNNNNUUUUACUGUUUUUAGUAAGUGUUUAAUAGAAUUAUUAAGAAAAUUAAUAGAACUAGUUUAUUUUUAGUAAUAAUUAGUUUAUUUUUAUUUAUAGUAAGUUCUUAGUUGAACUAGUUAAAUUAAUAGAACUAGUUUAUUUUUAGUAAGAACUAGUUUGUUUUUAUUUAUAGUAAGUGUUAAGUUGAACUAGUUGAAUUAAUAUAACUAGUUUAUUUUUAGUAAGAAAAUUUAGGUAUAUGAGAUUUGAUGAUCUAAUUAAAAUUUUACUAUAGAACUAGUUUAUAUUUAGUAAAAAAAAACUAGUUUAUUUUUUUAUGUCAUUAUCACUUUGUCAUCAAAGAAUGCUAUAUGAGAUCUGAUGAUCUAAUUAAAAUUUUACUUGAUGGAAUAUGCAGGCUUAGUCGUGUCUCCUUGGAGUGAUCGUCAUCCGAGCUACCUCCACUUCCUCUAUACCCGAGUCCGUGAGCUAAAAGUCCACCUCCUCCUUCUCCACCUUCCUCUACAUCCGAACUAGGGUAUUUAGUUAUUCUUCUUAAUCAAAUGAAAUGUUUGGAUUAUAAGCUAUAUUGAAAUGUUUUUGUCAAUAUUGAACCAUUGAAAUGCAAUGAGCACUAGUUUAUGCUCAUGUGCGAAGUGUCCAUUCAUUUUCAAGUGACCUAUGUUUUGCCGGAGUGUUGAUUCAUUUCCAUUCCGGCAAAUUUCAGGCUCUCGAUAUGUCCUAUUUUAGCAAAGGUCAUGUCGGAUUUUUCCAUGAAUUUAAGCAAGACUUGUGCUAGAAUAUGUAGGAAAUAUCGAGUGCCCCGGAUUUGCUAGAAAGAGAACUAAACGACAUUUCGAGUUGACUUUAAGUCUGUCGGGGCUCCAUCCAUGACUGUCCAAAAAUCGGUGAGGGAGAGUCUCCACCAUAUAUGAGAGAAGAAUGCCGACUGUUGUCGUGGGGGUCGCUUUUCCUUCUUCUCUUUGUGCUAGACCUCUGUUAUGCACUAGGGGAAGAAGGAGUAGCGACCAUCAUCAACGGUCGAAAAAUCGGUGACGAAGUGUCCAUCAUAUAUGAGAGAAGAAGAAUGUCGACUGUUGUCGUGGGGGUCGCUUCUCCUUCUUUUCCUUGUGCUAGAUAUUUGUAAUGCACUAGGGAAAGGAGGAAUGGCAAUCAUCACCAACGGUCGCAAUAUCAGAGAGGGAGUGCCCACCAUAUACGUGAGAUGAGAGUUUAGGAAGGAUGACUCGACAGACCUAAAGUCCACCCAUUACAUAUUGAGUAAUAGUGAUAUGUGUGUUGAGUUUUCUGGUAGUUGCCUUCGGUCGAUUUUUAACUAAUGUUUCAACUAUGAACAUAGGAAAUGUCUGAAGACAAAAAGGAAUUCUGUAUGUGCAAAUACUGCGAAGACAAGCGCGGCCUAUGCGACAGGCCUCACCUAGUUGGUGGUAGGCGCUUCAACAUCAAGCUGGAUGACACCUUCAAAGUGCAUACAGUAAGUCACAAUGACAAGUCUUUUCUUGUAAUUAAGCAUGACUUCUGCUUCUUUUGCUUCAACUUAUAAUUUAAUUUUUUUUUACUAUUCUACUAGCAUAUCCCCUGCCAUGCAAGAAUAUAUGUCUUGGAUAAGGUUGGUUUCAGUACUAUGGAAACUAUGGUGGUAAAAAGAGUUAACUUGAGGACCGAGCAUGGUUAUAGUUUUACCACAAAAUUAUACAAUACAGACACCUACACCCAUUUUGAAUGCAAACAAUGGAGAGCACUAUGCAAGGCUUAUGCAUUUGAGCCUGAUAUGCUUAUCACCUUUGAUAUUCGUCCGGAAGAUGAUAUUGAAGAUAAUAUUGACAUCUGGGUCGAUGUGCAGACGCCUCCAGUUCUACUAUUAUGUAAGUUUCUCAACCAUGUUUAUGUCUUUGAUAUUGUUUAUUAAAAAAUACUUGACAACUAAUUUCUAUUGACAGCUUAUUUCCAUUCAAGCAAACAUGUCCAGCGCUUGGUAGACAGGACCUACUACUGUCCCGGGGCUGAACUAAACUACGAGGAGACAAGUCAUUAUGUUUCAUGGCUUGAGGAUCUUCAUACUGUCAAGACAAAUUAUUUUCCUGGACUUAGAAAUCUUAGUACUCAAAACGUGCGACCAAUAGUGUUCGUACUGAACUACGGUCACAUCUAUUUAGGAAAGAUGGUAAGAUUUUACUAUUUGUCCUCAGUGCAUCUUUUGCAUACAUUAUUUUUUAAGCUAAACUUCAUUGCUAAGUAUGUUACUACAUGUUCUUCAACAGGGACUCUCCAUGAUAGUUGUGCCUCUGUGGAUCGAAGCUAAAGGUCGCAUGUCCAUGGUUAGCAUACGGCCAAGACUUCCUACAUUGCACAUGAGUGCAUUCAGGAUUUCUAGAAGCGAGCAAGUCUUAAUAGUCAAAGAUGGAACAAAAUUGUGAAGGAUCGCAGAGAAGUACUAGGGGGCAGCAAUCAGAAGCGCAGCCCACAAUUAGGAGACGGGUUCAUCUGCAUGCUUCAAUAUGAUGAAUCAGGAGCGCUCCACAUGUUCUAUGCUAUUUUACCUAAGAGAGAGCAGUAGGAGUGAUUAGCUAGCUAGAAUGAGUGUUGGUGGUGAUGACUAUGAUGAUUAAUAUUACCUAGUGUUGAUGGUGGUUAGCUAUGACUAUGAUGAUUAAAUAGUGUUGGCGGUAAUAACUAUGAUGAUUAUUAGCUAGUGUUGUUGGUGAUGAUAUGAUGCAAGAGUUUUUAUAUUAAUAUGAUGAUGAUGAUGAUGAUGAUGAGUACGUUAUUAUAUCACUGGGUGAAAGGACCGUGGAUUAGUUUUAAGUGGAUGGAUCCUAAGUGAUUAAGUCAUGGAUUAUCGUGAUAAUCCAUGACUUGGUCACUUAGGAUCCAUCCAUUUGAACCAAUCUGUGGUUCUUUCAUCUACUGAUUUAAUAACUCAUUAUAAUGUAAAAACAAUCUCUAAAUUGCUACUGUAUGAAAAAAAUGUAUAAAGCUAAAAUUUAAAAGAAAUAGAGUACGGAUAAUAGUAGUAGCACGAGCAGAGAGAAGCGCUACUAGUAAUUACCAGUAGCGGUUAUUUGAGAAAGCGCUACUACUAAGUAGAUAUAGCAGUAGCGCGUGCCAGCAGGCGCUACUGCUAAGCUUUAGCUUUAGCGUCGUAUUAGUAACGCGGUUACCCGCGCUACUGAUAGGCCAAAAACCAGCGUACUGCUAGGUUUUCCCUAGUAGUGUAACUGAAUCAGAUCUAUAAUACCUAAAUAGUUGAUCCCCACUAUGUUAUUUCUCUAGACAUGCAGGCUAUCCACAUCAACAAACCUGCCACAUCAGUUGGUGAUCCACGUCAUGUCAAUUAGGUUAUCUAUUCACGUACACCAGAUUCAAUCAGGUUCAAUUUAGUUUGGAAACCGAACAGUUAGGUUGGGUUGGACUCCUUUGCUUCCCCUCCCUGUGUAAUUAUGUAUACCGCACCAUAUUCUUCCCCUCCCCUCCACUUUCCCAAUUUCAGGGCAUCUUCUCCCCUUCCAUUCUCAACCGAUUCCUUUCCAUGUGUAUAAAUCUGCACUUCCUCUCCCACGCUUCCUCCCGCACAAGGCCACUGCUUCCCAUGCUACGGGUCCUUCAAUUGAUGCCGCCUCCUGCUGAUUGUAGGCACACCGGUGCUCUUGCCGUCCUUCCAGCGGUGGUGAUCGUGUCGGAUUCUCACCAUCGUUUCUCUGGAAGAAGAGAUCAACACCCCGAAUCAUCAUGUACUCAUCUUAGCUACUGCAGGAGAACCCCAUUGCUAUUGCGCCUUUCUCCCUCAUCCACCAUGGCAUCAUGAUAUUUCAUCUCCAGCAAUACCAACGUAUGUGCAGGGCAGAUGACUUCUUCCUAUGCUAUUUUUAUUUUCUGACAUUAUGCAUGCUACGUCAUGAUCAAUCAAGGAAAAAAAUCAAACAAAGGGUUGUGCAUGUGCUUUAUUAUACUGUACUCCCAUGUUUUUCUUUUGAGGAAUUAGCAACUGAUGCCUAUUGGAUGCUUGAAGAAAUGCCUCAACCACCUAACAAAUUUCUUAGUAAGUACUCCCUUCAGAAUAUUAGGGAGAUAGCUUUUGCUACUUGCUAGAGUUUGAAUCUGCCUAAUGUAUUACUGCAGGUAAUCCACGUUGACCACAAUUCUUUGAACUUGGAGCACUCUUUUCCCUGAUAAUCAAGUUCUGCACGUGGGCACUAAUGGCUACUACUGAUGGAGUGAAUGGAUGGCUCAAAUAAAAUUUCUUCACUACAUGUUUUUCCCUUUUUUGUGAAUGUGCUUCUGCACUAAAUGACAGAACUGCAUUAGACUCUACACCAGUAUAUCACCCAUUCCGGUCACAGCAAUAAGAAUGCCACUGAAUUUGUGAAAUAUACAGUUGAGAAUACUAUAAAACAACCGCAACUGUAUGAUUAUCCAGUUGUAACUGCUGAUUGAGAAUCCUAUGAAGCAACCACAAUUGUAUGAUUAUCCAGUUGUAACUUCUGACAUAGUAAGAAAUGGAAUAACACAUUUACUGUGAUUUUACUAAGAGCAUUGACCACAUUUCAAAAGCAUUAUCAAACUCAGUUUUGAACAGGAAUGUCGUUUUUUAAACUAAACAAUUAUCAUGCAAAGGUUGUGAAUUAUAUGUAAUCAUGUAUCCAUGUUUUUAUCUUCCUAUUAUAUUGUGAGUCGAACUACUCUUCUUCAUUACUAACGUUUAUCCUAUACAAUGCUAUGAUCCCGCAGCAACACGCGGGGAAUUGUCUAGUUUUCUAUGUGUGGGUGAGGAUUAGUUUACCUAUAUAUAGUUGGCAACAAUUGCAUAUGGAACUAAAAUAGAUUGUCAAGUUAAGUAGUUGGCCAUAUAGGAUGUGCACCGCUUGCUUGACUAAGCACAUCCUUGUGAUAUCCAUGUCAUUUAAUAUGGUCUUACUCAGAACCAAGAGAUAAGGCUGAUUGUUUAUGAUUUCAAUAUUAAUAUCUAAUAACAAUAUUAGGUUGAUGUGUAAUUAAUUCCUAGAAGUAUGCGUGUGUUGUAAUAUGACAACAAUGUUAGACCAAUGUGUAAAUGAGUUAUGGGCAUGUGCCUCUACACGGAAUCUGAAAUUUCGCUCAUUUUCAAUCAAAUGGACAUACCGGUAUUAUUACUAUAUAACUUGAUAUUAAAUAUGGAGCUAGCAUAUAAGUGCAACCAAGCAUUGAAUUCAUUAAUGAUUGUGAUAGUCUCGCGGUCACCGAAUAUAGGUGUGAUUUGUUUCAGCCAUUCACAUGUAUAACUAUGCAAGCCAAGACAUGUAUACACAUUUUGAGCAUUCAGAUCAGUCAGAGUUUUAUAAGACACCACUAUAGCAUAUGGAGAGGGGGGAGGGGGUCUCAGGAACCUUGAGGCUUGAGAGGUAUGCAGACAACUAUUGAUGUAAUGCAAUGGCAUAGAGGAGGUAGUGGAUCAAUAACUUUAGCAAGUCUCUGUGAAGCUACUUGGGCAUGAGAAUGUAUCUUGUGCAAUGAGCUAUCUGAUGCAACGGGUGCACCAGCUCAAUCUGACCCGCCGGAUGCACAAUAGAGGGACCAGAUUGCAUAAACAUAUAGGCUGCUGGUACAUUUUACAUAUUGCUCCUCGAAGUCAGAAAUCGUCCUUUUGCGCAACGGUUUUUCCCAAAAACAGCGUCUGUUUUGUCCUCCCGUCUCCUGACCUGAGAGUGCCAGAGUGAUUCAGAUCGCAAGCUAGGGUUAGCGACUCACAUCAUCACAUUUCUCGUACCCUCCGCUCGGCUGCCCAACCUUCUGCGCCCUCUAUCUUGUAGCUAGUUUCGUUGCCGGCGAAGCACCAGCGCCCCUCCUCUGCUCUUAAAUAGUCGUCCCUAGUUGAGUUCCCAUUGCCACCCGCGAGCGCCUGAAUGCAGCACUGCUACACUAUAGUUCCGAGGGAUGUUGACGCAACAACUGCAAAGGAGUCAGCCAUCUUCUACAGCUCCAGGAUCCAGGGUGUGCUCUUUUAAUUGUCCAUGUACUAUGGCCAUGUAUGGAACAAUUUAAUGUUUUUUUGUGGUUCAAGUGGAUUUAUGUCAUGCAUAAUCCCAUAUUGUUUGACCCGAGAGACUGGUUAUGCUUCAGGAAAUUUAUGCUCAGGAAGUUGCAGAAAUAUAUGUUUUGUUGUAGGAACAACCGGUUCAGAGUUUAUGUUCUGCUUCAGGACUAAUUGAUGAGCCAGUUCAAGUUAAGACUAGUUUUCACCAUGAUGCAUAUCUUUGUUCUGUACUAUAAUUGUGUUUCAGCCUUUUCCGUGAAAUGCUGCGGCGGGAUGUUAAUUGUAUUGUGUUUAAGUAGUCCAUCAAGACUUGAACUGUCUGGUAGCACUUUAAUCAAAUUAGAAUGUGUACUGAAACUCUGCAAAAUUUAAAGUUUUUUUGUGGGGUGCAAAAUUUAAAAGAUAGUCAGUAACCUUACUAUCACGUACACAAAAGGGUUCGGACGUCGUGUAAGAACAUGAGAGAUAAUAUAUUUCAUAAGGAAAACUUUGUUUCUAGACAAUUCGUAAAAGAAUGCCAUCUGCUAUCAAUUUUGACAUUUUCAAGCUCCGUAUUUCCUUACACAUACAUUAGUGUGCAUUCCUAUGGAAGCAUUCAGACAAUAGUAUCUCUUUGCUUUAGCCAAAUGAAUGAGCACCAUGCAGCUCCCCUGAUCAUCCGAGAAAGACCGACUUGAUGCAGCUAGAACACUAGCUUGUACAACAAACUAUGUUUUUUCAGACGAGCCUGUAGCUAAACAUGCAGACGAUACAUGAAAAUCACGACAAUCAUCAAUUUUCAGAUGCAUAUGGUGAUAGACUUUGAGAUCGGAGUAGGCUAGUAGAUCCGGUAACCUACCUCCUCCUGGUGCGGACGAACUCGAUCCAGCACCGGCCAUGAUGGUGUGGUGACGGCGGCGACGUGGACUGAGAUGGCGGCGGCAGUGUGCUUCCCGUGAGCACCGCGCUUACCCUAGAUCGGUAGGGAGUGUUCGGUGGGGUUUGUGGCGGCGUUCAACCUCGUGAGACGUGCCCCGUCCCCCACCUCUAUUAUAUAGCACGGGUCACAGGGGCCCACCAACCAUGGUUUGGUUGGGCGCCCCCGAUCAGGGCGUGAGUCAGGGGCCCGUUCGACCCGUUGGGUUCGAACGGGAUAGAGAUCAAUCUAACAUUCUCCCCCUUGAUCUCAACUUUACUUUUUACCUUAUACUUUCUAUUUUAUUUGUUUCAUCACAUAUUGGUACAUAGAGCAUGUUUCAUCGUCGCAGCUCAAUUGCCGAUAGAAUCAUUCAGCUACAACAUACGUUUUGUUCAGAAACAAAUUCUGUUCCUUUUGGGCCUAUCCAGGAAUCAUAAGGCUUUCCCUUAAACCCAUGCCGGCUAAGUAUUCCUUGAACACAUUGGGUGGUAAGCCUUUCGUUAGCGGAUCCGCAAGCAUAUCUUUUGUCUUUAUAUGCUCGAGACUUAUAGUUUGAUCCUGGAUUUUAUCUUUCACAACAUAAUACUUUAUAUCUAUUAUUUUGGCAGCAUUACUCGACUUGUUGUUGUGAGCGUAAAAUACCGCGGGCUGAUUGUCGCAGUACAUCUUUAGUGGUUUGUGAAUACAAUCUACCACUUUCAAGUCGGGUAAAAAUUUCUUUAGCCAUAUUGCCUGCCCCGUGGCUUCGAAGCAUUCUAUGAAUUCUGCAUACAUCGUGGAUGAUGCAACUAUCGACUGUUUGGAGCUUUUCCAUGAAAUAGCUCCCCCAGCAAGGGUGAAUACGUAUCCUGGCGUGGAUUUUCUAUCAUCUUUGUCCCCCGCAAAAUCUGCGUCUGAAUACCCUUUUAUCUCUAGGGAAUCAGAUCUCAUGUAUGUUAGCAUGUAGUCCUUCGUGCCUUGCGCAUAACGCAAUGAUUUCUUUAUCAUCUUCCAGUUCUUUAUGCCUGGAUUCUCUUGAUAUCUACCGAGUACCCCGGUGAUAAAGGCUAAGUCAGGCCGAGUGCACACUUGUGCAUACUGCAAGCUGCCAACUGCCGAAGCAUAUGGUACUCCUUUCAUUUGAUCGAUCUCGUACUGGUUUUUGGGACAUUGGAAUUUCCCAAAACUAUCGCUCUUAACUAUAGGAGCAGGUGUGGCUUUACUCGCAUGCAUAUUAUAUUUUUUUAAGAACCUUUUCUAAAUACGCUUUCUGCGAUAGUCCUAAGACUCCAUUGUUUCUAUCUCGGUGAAUUUCUAUGCCCAAAACAUAUGAUGCUUCACCAAGAUCUAUUAUGUCAAAAUUCGAGGAUAAGAACUUCUUUGUUUCUUGUAGUAGAUUAACAUCACUGCUAGCAAGCAGAAUGUCAUCCACAUACAAGAUUAGGAAAAUAUAUUUCCCAUUUUUAAACUUUGCAUAAAUGCAGUUAUCCUCAAUAUUUUAUUUAAAACCAAAACUUUUAAUCAUUUGAUUAAACUUUAAAUACCACUGCCUAGAGGCUUGCUUUAAUCCAUAAAUGGAUUUCUUGAGGCGGCAUCCCAUAUUUUUCUUGUCUUCCAUGAUAAAACCCUUGGGCUGUUUCAUGUAGACAUUUUCUUUUAAAUCUCCGUUGAGAAAUGUCGUCUUUACAUCCAUUUGAUGUAACUCUAAAUCAAAAUGAGCAACUAAUGCCAUUACCAUUCUGAAGGAAUCCUUACAUGAGAACGGAGAAAAUGUCUCUUUGUAAUAUAUCCCUUCUCUUUUUUGUAAAUCCUUUUGCCACGAGUCGUGCUUUAUAUUUUUCUAUAUUCCCUUUAGAGUCAUACUUAAUUUUGUAGACCCAUUUGCAGCCUACUGAUUUGGCUCCUUUAGGAAUUUCCUCUAAGUCCCAAACAUCUUUGGAACUCAUUGAUUUCAUCUCGUCUUCCAUUGCCUUCGUCCACAUCGAUGAAUGAGGGCUUCUCAUGGCUUCUUCAUAUGAGGUGGGAUCUUUUUCCAUAUGAACCAUUUCUGUGUUAUAAACUUUAAAGUCAGUAGAAAUAGCUGACUUUCUUGGUCUUGUAGACCUUCUAAGGGCCUCAGUUUCUGGCACAUUCUGUGCCUCAACUUCUGGUACUUCUUCUAAAAUGUGCUGCUGCACCUCCCUUUCAUGCUCAACAACGGGUUCAGUCGGCUCCUGACGGACAGGUUCCGGGUCUGCUCCCAUAGUUGUCAUGGGUGGAGUUGCAACUGGUAGUGAGAAAAAUGGCUCCUGGAUCAUCGGAUUAGGUGCAUGCACCCUCUUCUCCUCAAGAUCAAUUUUCCGAGCUACCAAGCUCCCCCUCAUCAUUUCGUCCUCUAAGAAGACUGCAUGUCUCGUUUCUACAAACUUUGUAUAUCUGUCUGGGCAGUAGAAACGAAAACCCUUUGAUCUGUCUGGAUAGCCAAUGAAGUGGCAACUCACUGUUUUGGGAUCUAACUUUCUAAUGUUUGGAUUAAACAUUUUGGCCUCAGCAGGGCACCCCCACACCCUGAAGUGUUGUAGGGAUGGCACCCUUCAUGUCCAUUGCGCGUACGGUGUUUUGGGCACCGACUUGCUUGGUACUCUAUUGAGAAUGUGAAUGGCGGUUUUAAGCGCCUCCAUCCAUAAUCCCAAUGGCAAGUUGGAAUAACUCAUCAUGCUGUGCACCAUAUCCAUAAGUGUACGGUUGUGCCUUUCAGCUACUCCAUUUUGUUGAGGUUCGCCCGGCAUUGAAUACUGGGCAACUAUGCCAGUCUCCUGCAAGAACUUUGCAGAAGGUCCAGGGACUUGGCCAUAUGGAGUGUGCCGACCGUAGUACUCUCCCCCAUGGUCGGACCUAACUAUCUUUAUUCUUUUAUCAUGCUGAUUUUCAACUUCAGCUUUGAAUAUUUUAAAUUUAUCCAACACUUUAGAUCUUUCUUUGAUUGGAUAAAUAUAUCCAUAGCGAGAGUAAUCAUCUGUGAAUGUUAUGAACGAGUCAUAUCCAUCCACACUUUUCACCAGAAAUGGUCCACAAAUAUCAGUGUGGAUGAUUUCUAGUGUGCCUGUGCUAUGGAUUGCAUCUUUUUUGAUUUGUUUUACAUACUUUCCUUUAACGCAAUCUAUGCAUUUUUCUAAGUCUGAAAAUUCUAACGGAGGAAGAAUUUCACUUUUGACUAAUCUUUCUAUUCUCCCCUUCGAAAUAUGGCCCAAGCGACAUUGCCAUAAUUUCGAUGAGUCGAAUGUUCUUUUUCUUUUCUUUUGCUCUUUAUUCGACGCGGAAACAUUUUCUUUCACAUUGCAAACGGAAUAAACUUUUUCACGUAGUGAUAACAAAUAAAUCUCAUCAUGUAGUAAAGCAUCACCCACAUAAGCAUUAUUAUACCAAAUGGCACACUUUCCAUGUCCAAAAUAACAUUCAUAAUUAUCUUUGUCCAAACAAGAAACACUAAUUAAGUUUCUAUGACAUGAUGGAACAAAUAAAACAUCUCUAAGUAGAAGAUUGAAUCCGCCAUCUAACUCCAAGGAGAUGUCACCGACAGCUUCAACUUCUUCUUCAACUCCGUUUGCCACUUCAAUGCGUCUUUUGCUUCUUAGCGUAGUUUGCGUCGAAUGGAAUCCCUGUAAAGAAUUUGCAACAUGAACUGUUGCUCCUGAAUCAAUCCACCAACUGGAUUUUGAAAACUGUGUAUCCAAGGAUUCAUUUACAAAUGAAACUAUAUUGUUACCUCUUUUGCCAUGACUGACUUCAGCCAAGCAGCGCAGUCUUUCUUGUAAUGCCCUUUCUGCUUGCAGUGGAGACAAGUGUCUUUGUCCACUGAGAAAGGUUGUUGCUGAUGCUGAUGUUGAUGGGGGGCUUUUCCAUGCUUUGAAGGAGAACUUUUGUUGCUUUGACUGUAGUUCUUUUUCUUGUAAUCCUUCACAUAGUUGAGUGAACCACCAUGUGCGGCUUUGAGUCUUUCCUCUUCUUGGACACACAUUGCUAUUGUCUUUUCAAUGUCCCAUAUUCCAGGGGUCAUAUUAUAGUUUACAACAAAAGUUUCAAACUCCUUUGGCAGUGAAGCCAUGACCAGGUGGACCAGGAGCGUUGGUUUGAUCUCCAGAUCCUCAUCCAUGGGCUUUAGCUUUGCUGCCAUAUUGCUCAUCCUCAGGAUGUGCUCUCUUAUUCCAUGACUACCACCCGUGUAGCGUUGUGUCACCAGUUGCUCUAACACUUGGGUGGCAUAUAUCUUUGAAGAGCCAGUGAACUGGCUCUUUAUCUUUGUAAGCAACUCCCCUGCGGAAGUGCACUCUGCAAUGGAGCCCACAAUGGCGCUCUCAAUUGUAUUCUUUAUAAAUGUCAUUCACUUUUUGUUUGCAUUGACCCACUUUUGGUUAUCUAUGAGGUAGGACUGCUCCAAAGGAGCAUAGUCCCACUUCUUUUUAGCCCAUGCAGCAUCAUCAUCAGUGGCCUCUCUUACUGGCUCUGUGGGUAUGGCCGGUUGUGGUUUCUCCACAACCCAGUCAAGAUCAGCACAAACAAAUGCCAGUUCAACUUUCUUCCUCCACUCAGUGUGGUUGUCACCUCUGAGUGCCGGAACUUCUUUUAGGCAACUCAUCAAGUGAAAGCCUCCUUCUCCUGGUGCGGACGAACUCGAUCCAGUGCCGGCCAUGGUGGUGUGGUGACGGCGGCGAUGUGGACUGAGAUGGCGGCGGCGGUGUGUUUCCCAUGAGCACCGCGCUUACCCUAGAUCGGUAGGGAGUGUUCGGUGGGAUUUGUGGCAGCGUUCAACCUCGUGAGACGUGCCCCGGCCCCCACCUCUGUUAUAUAGCGCGGGUCACAGGGGCCCACCAACCAUGGUUUGGUUGGGCGCCCCUGAUCAGGACGCGAGUCAGGGACCCGUUCGACCCGUUGGGUUCGAACGGGAUAGAGAUCAAUCUAACAUAUGGAACAUGAGAGAUCUCCAAAAUAACAAGUAGAACGUGGUUGGGUAAGAUUAAACUUUGUGCUGUAGAGAAUGCUGUAGAGAAUGUCAGUAACAUUCCUGAGCUUACUCAUGUAUAAAACAACUUAUCCAUACUUGUCGUUGCUUCACUCCUACAAUCUAAUAUAAUGUGUUACAGGAAAUUCAAAAAAGAAGACAAGUAUGGCAGAUCUGAAAAUGUUAUGGGUCAACUGAAGAAUUGCCUAAUCAAAUCAAGUGUCUAAUAGUCCACCUGUACUUAGUAUGCUGCUAGCACAUAUAUAUGGAUUCAAUUUACGUGCAUUGUGGCAUAUACAUGAACUAUUCCUCAAAUAUUUGGCAUCAUGCUGAGCUGUACCAUGUUUCUACUCACACGACUAAACCAUAUGACAGCGACAACAGUUUCGGAGCGGAGCAGAGGAGGGGCGUGUGCUUCAGAGGCGCCGGAAGUAGGUACACAAGAGAGGGGAGAAAGUUGGGUUGGCCAAGAGAGCGGGCGAUGUAAGCUCCACCUAGCACGACCUUCUCCCUUGGGCUCGCCGGCGGCAAUGGAAGCUCCACCUGGGACGGCCGUUUCAGAGAAGAGGAGGGGCGCUGGUGAUUCACCGGCAACGGAACUAUGUACAAGUGAGAGAGGGGAGAAAGUCGGGCGACCCAGGGGGAGCGGGAGAGAGAGGCGGCGAGAGGACUCGCUAACCCUACUCACGAUCUGAAUCGCCCUGGCACGCUCAGGUACAGGAGAGGAAGACGAGAUGCCAAGGAAAGAGACGAUGUCUUGGAGGAUGACUGUUUGCGCAAAUGGACGAUUUCUGAGGAGCAAUAUGUAAAAUGUACCAGCAGCCCAUAUGUUUAUGCAAUCUGGUCCCUCUAUUGUGCAUCCGGCGGCUCAGAUUGAGCUGGUGCACUCGUAGCAUCAGAUGGCCCGUUGCACACGAUACAUCCUCACUUGGGCAUUACAAGUCAAAUGACGAAUCAUACAUGUCUGUGGGCCAAUGACCCUCUGUAUUUUGUACUGCCUUGAAGAUGUGAUUAGAGAAGUGGGGUCUAUGCCGUGUCGGUGAUAGGUGGCAUUGUUCUUCAUUGUUUCCCCAAGCAGCCUAUUUUGUCGUUUCAUAGGUUAGUGCUUUUUAGCAAAUAAUCUAGUCUGUGAUGGCAUGGUACAAGACUGUACUCGUCGUGUAAUCUGACAAUUUACCAAAUCAGAAGAGUUUUCACCCGAUUGACGGCCGUGUAAAUUGACCUGUGAGGUAUUAAAUUAUUUCCCCUCUGCUACUUUUUUUUGUUGAUCAGCUCAGUGAGAUAAACACACCAUGAAGCCUGCACUGUGCUUCCUGGUGUUUCAAUUGUGGCAAUCGUGUCCGUAUGAACUCUGAGAAUUAAUGGAGAAACUGACCAUGAUUGUGUCAGAAAUGUGUUGCGGAGCGUGAAACAUGCUAGAGAUCUCUCAUCCCAUGCUUGAGUUGCAUGGAAUUGAAUAUCCCGUUUGCGUGAAUCUGAGAACGCUUCAAUUUUAUGACGAAUUGUGUUAUGCCAGAAUUCCUGACAUAAAAUUCCCACGGGACUCAACUUGGAUUAUGUAAUUUGUUUUCUAAUUUUCCUUGGUCAAAAGAAGGUGAUUAAUAAUUCAAUGUCUCAUCCUGAAGCAUGUAUAUUAACACAUUGUCCAAUUCAAAUUCUUGUUCACAAAAAUCACCAUUGCGUCUUCUUUAAGAACAAUUCAGUCUUGUUGCAUAUAUCUUCCAAAGCAUCAUCAAGCCUUUAGUGCCUGCUUAUUAUUCUUUAACUUAACCAUAUCUUAAUUAAAUUAAUUAUAGCAACAAGUUGGAUGAAUUCAGUGCCAGCUGCAAGAUUUGCUUAUGUCAUGCAUAUAUUUCCAUGGAAGGACAACUGUCAAACAAUGAAUCCUUUGGGAGCGGACCCAAGUAUGAACAACCAAUGAUCGCCCGAAAGUUGUAUCAGUUCAAAAAUUUAACACUUUCGCUUCGAUACAACCCCCAUGUACCCCUUCAUAAUAAAGCAUAGGAUGGUCUUUAUCAAAAGCACAUCGUCUGCGCCAAGCGCGAUAUGCGGCCUGUGCGUACCGCCCUGGGCCAGUCCAUUUUACAUUUUUUUCCUGUUCUGUAAAACCUUCAAAAGGGCGGGCCAGCCCAUUUUACACUUUUUUCAUGUUUUCUAAAACCUUCAAAUAAUGAGCGCCCCAUUAGAUUCAAACCGAGCACAUGUACGCUUACUACAAGGGCAAUAACCAACUGGACUACUUCUUGUGUCUAGUUACCUUCUUUUUUCUCCCUCAAAUAUAACACUAACCAAUGUGUGAACAUUUUUUAAAAUAUAAUAAUUUUUUGGUUAAUUGAUAUGAAAUAUUUUGAAUUAUGUGAAAGUACCACUUCAUAAUAAAGGGUAGGAUGGUCUUUUUUAAAAUUACGUCGACUGCGCGAAGCGCAAUACGCGGCAUGUGUAUGUAUUGCCUUGGGCCGGCCCAUUUUACAUUUUCCCCCUUUUCUGUAAAAGUUUUAAAAAAUGAGUGUUCAACGGGAUUCAAGCCCAGCACGUAUACACUUAGUACAAGCGAGGUAACCAACUAGACUACUUUCUGUUGUCUACUUAUCAUUUUUUUGUCUUUUUCAAAUAUAACACUAACCAAUACGAGCAUGUUUUGUAUUCUUUGUCCUUUUUAAUAAAAAAUAUCUUUCUUUUUACUUUUUCCAUUUCUUUUCUAUUUUAAAUUUGCAAAACAUUUAAAUCGUGACCUUUUUCUGAAGUCUAUGAACUUUUAAAAUUCUUGAACAUUUUCUUAAAUUCAUGAACUUUAUUUUCAAAUCUGUGAACUUUUUUCAAAUCCACGACCUCUUUUAAGUUUAAACGAAUUUACUUUUAAAGCCCACGAUUUUUUAUCAUAUUUUUUUCAAAUUGAUUAACUUUUCUCAAAUCCGCGGACACUUGGGUCGGCCCAACUAGGUGGGACGAUGCGGUCACCUAGUUGGGCCAAGGCCUAACCUUUUGUUUCUCUUUUCUAUUUUUAGGUUUUUCUUUACUUUUUUCCUUAAUUCAUUAUUCUCAUUCUUGAAAAAAUAGACCUGUUCCAAACAUUGAAAUAUUGUUGGAAUACCAAAAAAAACUUGUUUUCAAAUAUAUUUUUACAAUUUUUAAAAAAUGUGCUUGUUUUUCUAUAUUUUGUUCACAAAUUUAAGAAAUGUUUGUGUUUCAAAAAAUUAGAUACAUUUUUAAAAAAGUGUGUGGUUUGCAAUAUUUGUUCAUCAUAUAUUGUUGAUAAUUUUUUAACACUUUUAGAAAAGUGUUGAACCUUGUAAAAUUUUCAUACACAAUUUGGAAUGAAAAAAUUAUUGACAAAUUUCCAGAAAUGGUUAGGAUAUAAGAAAGUGUUCAUGUUGGCUGAUAAUGACGGAAACUGCAAAUAACAAAGGUAUUCAAAUUAGGAAAAACUACAUACUCACGAAUCCACCUAUUGGGCCUUGUCUAGCACUCUUUUCUGAACUGGUGGUUUUUUGCACUAUAGAUAAAUGACCUCAUCUUCUUGCAACGGCUUGACACAAAUAUAUGAGGCGUUUGAACAAAUUCCGACAUUGUAUGCAAGUUGCGGCACGUCCGGUCAAUUAUAGGCCAUUUUUCACCGAGAAAACUCCAAAAACUACAAGAAUUGUCAAAAAAUUGAAAAAAUUGGCAUGAUGCCUUGAAUUGGUCACAUAAGCUGGUGGUAAAAAUUGAGGUCAUUUGACGGAUGUCAAAACAAUGUGCUUUCAAAAGGGCCCUUCUGGCCUAUUUGAGCACCAUCUGUCGAACAUGAUCUAGUUUUAAACAUUCUUAAAACAACCCCAACUUUUGCAGUCAUGUGGGCAUGCCCAUGGUAGGCAUCCAUGACAGGUUUGAACGAGUUUCGACACCGUAUACAAGUUACGACACGUCAGACUUUAUCAGCUUUUUUAUUAGGAAAACUUCAUAAAAAUGCAAAAUUUAUCGAAAACCAAAACAUCUUGGCAUGAUGCCUUUAAUUGGUCAUACAAGGCCAUGGAAAAAAUUGGGGCCAUUUCAAGGAUGUCGGAAAACAAUGUGCUCUCGGACGGAGCUUUCUGGUAUACCCGAACACACUUUUGUUGAACAAGAUAUAUGUUUGUACAUCCUUCAAAUGGGGAAAGUAUCUGGUGCACCGGUGGUUGUGGUGCUACCGGUGCACCAGACGACCAUAGCGCAUUCAAGAAUGUUAAAAAAACUGAAAAAACAUUAGCACAUUGGCACAACGUCGGUUCAUGUUGUCGCAAAAUUUCAACUCAAAAUUUCUGCUCGAGGUACAAAAAUCAUAAAAUUGGCACUGAAUAGUACACAACAUUAGUUGGGCUUUAGAUUUGGCCCAUUAACACACUGAUGCCAAAUUUGUUAUUUUUGUAUCUUGUGCAAUGUUUUGAAUUUUGAUUUUAAUUUUUGCAACAACAUAGACCGACGUUGCGCAAAUGGGCUACAUUGUUUUCAGAUUUUUUUAAAAUAUUCUUAAACACGCUACGACGUCCGGUGCACCGGAUACUUUCCCCCUCAAAUGACGCCAACUUUUGCAAGGUGGACAUGCCCAUAGUAGGUAUUCAUGUCAGGUUUGAACUAUUUCGACACCGCAUGUAAGUUGCGACAGAUCCUACCAUUAUCAGACUUUUUUGACCCGAAAAUUCCAGAUUUGUUGAAAACCAAAACAACUUGGCAUAAUGCCUUUAAUUGGCCAUAUAAGAUCCUGUAAAAAAUUGGGGUCAUUUGACGGAUCCAAAAAACAUGCACUCAAAGGGAGCCUUCUGGGCUACUCGAACACCCUCCAUCGAACACUCUCCGUUGAACAUGGCCUUCUGGCUUACUCAAACCUGUAGGCAGCACACUGCCGUUCAUAUUUAGUCCCAUCUCACCUGGUUACACGGAAGGAGUCAGAAAUCUUGACUAUAUAAUAGGGCAGCCUGGUUACAUGGCUGACGGCCAACCCGAUAAUUCGACCCAUGGGUGCCUGAGCUCAUGGGCACCUACCCCGAAUGGGUAGGGUAUGGAUCAUCAUCUUCAUCCUAAUUAACGUAGCAACGAUGCAAUAUUUUCAGCCUAUUGAACCUCCAAAAGCUGAAGGCAUGCAACACACAGUCUAAAAAAAGUGCAUGCUACCCUAGAAAAAAUCUAUUGCGUGCAUGUCAGUGAAUUGAUCAUAGGAGCAGGUUGUUUAGUACCACCUGGCUUGCUCUGGCGUCUAGUAGGUGGGGUUCUACUAUAUAAAGGAGACUAGGAGGUUCAAGAGGAAAUACAUCAACCAUGGCAUGCAUUGAACGAGUAAAAAGAAAACAUAAUAAAACGGCAGACCUGAUCGGUGCCUGAGUUGGUCGGGUUACUCAAUGGGUUCGGGCAUGGGUCACCCAUGGGUACGCUCCUAGGCAGGCGACAAACCCGACAAGGGAUUCGGGCAUGAGUCUAGGAGAGGUCGACCCGACCAAACCCGACCCGAUUGCCAGCCUGAGUUGCCGACUUUUAAAUUUUAAAAAAAUGUUCAUAGAUAAAAGAAAAGUUCACAAGUUUAAAAAUGUUCAAAGAUUUGAACAAAGUACACGAAUGUGACAAAAAAGUUCCCAAAAUUGAAGACAGUUCACGAAUUUGACAAAAAAGUUCAUGAUUUUAACACAAAAGUUCAUGAAUUUGACAAGAAAGUUCAUGAAUUUGAAAAAAAUUCGUGAAAUUGAAAAAAGUUCAUCGGUCUGAAAAAACUUCACGAAUUUGACAAAAAAAGUUCACGAAAUUGAUAAAAGUUUACAAAAUUAAAAAAAGCAUUUAUUUGAAAAAUAAAUAAUGAAUUCAACAAAUAAGUUCAUGCAUUUUUAAAAAGUUAAGGAAUUUAAGAAAAUGUUCACGAAUUUAAGAAAAUUAAAAAGAAAACAGUGUAUGUAGUUUUUUAUUUGAAUUUUUAUUAAAAGAAAAGCGCUUGGGUAGCUAGUCAUUGAAAUGACACACGGGUCCCUCGCUCCAUCCCUCAGUGUGGACCAGUCGUGUACGUUUCAUUCGUUCAUUCAAACACGAGUCAUUUUUUGUUUGCGUUUAGUUCAGUUUUUUUGGCCCAACAUGGUGACUCAUGCGACGAGAACCUAUACGCCAUGCAUAUAGACAACGUGGAAUGAAUAUCGAUCCAUCUUGUACAUGCAGACAUUUCGUUCAUCAUUUACUGAAACACGACUCACCUUUUGUGUUUAAUAUUUUUUUGUUUGCGUUAACUGUAUGUGUUUAACGCCACACACGACUCAUUUUGUUAACGCGGGGACAAGAAUGUGUUUUCUGAAGAAAAAUAAAAAAAGGAAUAAAAUCAAAGAAUAAAAGGGCCAAACAAAAAAAUAAUAAAAGAAGUAACUAGACACCACAAGAUAGUUUUCCCGGUUGGUUAUAGUGUGUGGAAGUAAACUAAGAGGUUGGGAGUUUGAAUCCUACCUCACGCAACUAUGUUUGAAGGUUAAAGAAAGAAAAAGGAAAAUGGGCCAGGCCCAAGACAGAGGUUGUGUUUGUCAGUUUGUGUGACGGGCCGGCGGAUCGGUUGUGUAUACAGCUGGUACGUGCCACAUACAUAGAUGGGUAUAUCUUAUAAUCAGAUGACCCUAUUGUCCUUAUACGGUUUGUGAGUGGGGUGUACUGAAGCAAGACUCAAAAUUUAAAUAAGAAUCGCUCAUUUCUUUCUUUCAAACCAAAGAGCUCUCCUCUCCGAUUUCAAAUAAGAAAGAAACCGAUAAAACGCCACACGACGCACCCAAGUAAAACCAGCAGGCACGAUAUUGGAAUCCUGCUCCUGCAACCAAUCAUCCAAAACGAACUUAAGUUCAACACUACAGGACUGAAACCAAAACAAACUCUUGACAUACACGACAUUACAUCCAACCAUGGCAGCUCCAAAAUAGCAUUUAGAACUACAAAAGGGGGCACUUUUUCCAGCAGCCUCAACCCAAGCGAAUAUGCCUUCCAUCCUCUACCACCACUGAGAAUACGGAAGCAGCCUCCUAUCGAGAAAUAUAUCCAGGUGUGGCGUCUUGCCCCCUGGUGAUUCCUCAAACGAAAAAAUGGGUAUUGGUUCUUGCCUUGGAGUUACUAGAGCUGAUUCAGGUGACCUGAGCCAGGGGGUUAAGUCAUACAAAGCUAUCCAACUUCUUUGGUUACAUCUAUCGCAGAUGUGGCAUUACCUAUAACUAUGUAUGUAUUUUCAAAGAUGAUGACGAUAAUAGGAUGUGGAUGAAGACAUCUUUGAUUCUUGUGUGCUUUGAUUAUAAAAAAGACAUGCUAGUAUGCCCUGAGUCUGCCCUAGCCUAAAUAUAUGAGCUAGCGUAAAUGUUUGAUAUGCACGAGAAACUAAGUAACCAGAUAUGAUUAUCUAUAUGUGGGUGUCAAUUGAUUUACAUGUAGUUGGCUAUUGGCAAAUGCAUAUGUGAUUGACAGAGACUGUUAAGGUAAGCAGUUGCUCCUCUAGGAUGUAUUGGCAUCCUUCAUUAAGUAAAUUAAUGUGUGCUCCAUGUCAUUCAUAUUGUUUUAUUCAGAAAGGGGAGAUAAGGCCGAUUGCUCAGGAUUUCAAUAUGAAUAUCUUAUAAUAAUGUUAGGUAGAUGUGUAAUUAAGUCCUUGAAUAUGCAUUUGUUGUAACCUGACAACAAUGUCAGAUGAUGUGUAAAUAGGUUAUGGAUGUAUGCAUGAGUACUAGUGUAGCACUUGACACUAAAAUAUGCAGUAGCAUAUAAGACCAACCAAGCAUUGAACUCAUUAGUUAUCAUGAUCGUCUCGGGGUAAUUGAAUAUAUGUGCGAUUUGCUCCUACCAUUCACAUGUAUAAAUGUACAAGCCAAGAAACGCAUAUACAUUUUCAGAUUCGAGCCCGAUGAGUUUCAUAAGACAACACCAUAGCAUAGGUCAUGGGGGAAGAAACAAGUACGUUGGGGCUUGAGAGGUAUCAGGAUAAUUAUUGCUUCGGUUCAGUCAUAUAGAGGAGGUACAGGAAUGAUAAUUGGAGCAAACUUUGGCAAAGCAAUUCGAGGACUACAACUCGCUUGAUGAAUGCUACCAGUGUGUGGGCAUACAACUCUCUAACAGACUGCUUGGGUAGUGUCUUGAAGAUGUUGCUAGAGCAGUAGGAGCCCGCGUCGCACCGGCGAUAGGUGGAACUGCUUCGCCUAGCAGCCUGUGUUAUCCUUCGCGAGUCGUUGGUAUGCAUCGUUUUGUACAAGUUCAUGCUUUAAUUUAUACCCAAAUCAGAAGAGUUUUCACCCGAUCCACAACUAGGUAAAUUGUCUUGUGCUGUAUUCAAAUAUUUGCCCCUCUGCUACCUUUCGUGCUACGCAGCCAAUCAUCUAAAUUCCAAAAUGAACUUAAGUUCAACACUACAGGACUGAAACCAAAACAAACUCCAACAAACACAACACUACAUCCAAGUCCAAACAUGACAGCUCCAAAACAGCGCUUACAGCUACUCCCUCUGUAAACUAAUAUAAGAGCCUUUAGAUCACUACUUUAGUAUUCUAGACGCCUUUAUAUUAGAUUACAGAGGGAGUAAAAAAGAAGGCUCUUAAUCCAGCAGCCUCAACACAAAGCCAAUACGCCUGACCAUCGGCCUCCGGCCUCCACCACCACUGAAUUCAGAAGCAACAUUACACAGCCAAUAAGACCUAACUCAUCGAACAGAAGAAACGGAAUUCCAAGUCAUAGACAGCAUUAGGACGCCACCAUUUCCUAGACAUGACACCAACAUAGGUACUGCCAUAAGACAGCAUGAGUCAGCUCACCACCAACCACCAUUAACAAGACAACAGCCGGCGACAAUAGUAGCUCGUCACCAUGUCUCGUGCUCAUCCAUUGGUUCCACGUCCAAUCAACCUUUUGCUACUUCAGACAGUCUUCUUACCCAGCAAUCUGGCAAUCAAAGCAAACAGAACCGGAAGUUACAUCAG
rnacentral:lncRNA from 1 species